rnacentral:rRNA from 1 species
GUGGAACCUGCCCAAUGGUCUGGAAUAACCGCGGGAAACUGCGGCUAAUACCGGAUAAGCCCGAGAGGGGAAAGAUUAUCGCCGAUGGAGGGGCCCGCGUCCGAUUAGGUAGUUGGUGGGGUAACGGCCUACCAAGCCUACGAUCGGUAGCUGGUCUGAGAGGAUGAUCAGCCACACUGGGACUGAGAUACGGCCCAGACUCCUACGGGAGGCAGCAGUGGGGAAUAUUGGACAAUGGGGGCAACCCUGAUCCAGCAAUGCCGCGUGAGUGAUGAAGGCCUUAGGGUUGUAAAGCUCUUUUGGCGGGGACGAUGAUGACGGUACCCGCAGAAUAAGCCCCGGCUAACUUCGUGCCAGCAGCCGCGGUAAUACGAAGGGGGCGAGCGUUGUUCGGAAUUACUGGGCGUAAAGGGCGCGUAGGCGGCGAUCCGAGUCAGAUGUGAAAGUCCUGGGCUUAACCUGGGGACUGCAUUUGAUACUGGAUUGCUUGAAUGCAGGAGAGGAUAGCGGAAUUCCCAGUGUAGAGGUGAAAUUCGUAGAUAUUGGGAAGAACACCGGUGGCGAAGGC